AGGUCAUUUCAAAGAGGUCGUGUGGCCCCGAGACCGGGAGGUCUGAAUGCUGUGACCCAAGAUUAAGAUUCUCCACGAAAUGCCACAGUCACUCAGUAGUGCCAUGUUUCUGCUUUUUUUUUU
rnacentral:snoRNA from 1 species